rnacentral:rRNA from 1 species
CAGGCUUAACACAUGCAAGUCGAGGGGCAGCAUGGUCUUAGCUUGCUAAGACUGAUGGCGACCGGCGCACGGGUGAGUAACACGUAUCCAACCUGCCGUCUACUCUUGGACAGCCUUCUGAAAGGAAGAUUAAUACAAGAUGGCAUCAUGAGUCCGCAUGUUCACAUGAUUAAAGGUAUUCCGGUAGACGAUGGGGAUGCGUUCCAUUAGAUAGUAGGCGGGGUAACGGCCCACCUAGUCUUCGAUGGAUAGGGGUUCUGAGAGGAAGGUCCCCCACAUUGGAACUGAGACACGGUCCAAACUCCUACGGGAGGCAGCAGUGAGGAAUAUUGGUCAAUGGGCGAGAGCCUGAACCAGCCAAGUAGCGUGAAGGAUGACUGCCCUAUGGGUUGUAAACUUCUUUUAUAAAGGAAUAAAGUCGGGUAUGCAUACCCGUUUGCAUGUACUUUAUGAAUAAGGAUCGGCUAACUCCGUGCCAGCAGCCGCGGUAAUACGGAGGAUCCGAGCGUUAUCCGGAUUUACUGGGUUUAAAGGGAGCGUAGAUGGAUGUUUAAGUCAGUUGUGAAAGUUUGCGGCUCAACCGUAAAAUUGCAGUUGAUACUGGAUAUCUUGAGUGCAGUUGAGGCAGGCGGAAUUCGUGGUGUAGCGGUGAAAUGCUUAGAUAUCACGAAGAACUCCGAUUGCGAAGGCAGCCUGCUAAGCUGCAACUGACAUUGAGGCUCGAAAGUGUGGGUAUCAAACAGGAUUAGAUACCCUGGUAGUCCACACGGUAAACGAUGAAUACUCGCUGUUUGCGAUAUACGGCAAGCGGCCAAGCGAAAGCGUUAAGUAUUCCACCUGGGGAGUACGCCGGCAACGGUGAAACUCAAAGGAAUUGACGGGGGCCCGCACAAGCGGAGGAACAUGUGGUUUAAUUCGAUGAUACGCGAGGAACCUUACCCGGGCUUAAAUUGCAGAUGAAUUACGGUGAAAGCCGUAAGCCGCAAGGCAUCUGUGAAGGUGCUGCAUGGUUGUCGUCAGCUCGUGCCGUGAGGUGUCGGCUUAAGUGCCAUAACGAGCGCAACCCUUGUUGUCAGUUACUAACAGGUUCCGCUGAGGACUCUGACAAGACUGCCAUCGUAAGAUGUGAGGAAGGUGGGGAUGACGUCAAAUCAGCACGGCCCUUACGUCCGGGGCUACACACGUGUUACAAUGGGGGGUACAGAGGGCCGCUACCACGCGAGUGGAUGCCAAUCCCCAAAACCUCUCUCAGUUCGGACUGGAGUCUGCAACCCGACUCCACGAAGCUGGAUUCGCUAGUAAUCGCGCAUCAGCCACGGCGCGGUGAAUACGUUCCCGGGCCUUGUACACACCGCCCGUCAAGCCAUGGGAGCCGGGGGUACCUGAAGUGCGUAACCGCGAGGAGCGCCCUAGGGUAAAACUGGUGACUGGGGCUAAG